UACGAAGGGGGCUAGCGUUGCUCGGAAUCACUGGGCGUAAAGGGUGCGUAGGCGGGUCUUUAAGUCAGGGGUGAAAUCCUGGAGCUCAACUCCAGAACUGCCUUUGAUACUGAAGAUCUUGAGUCCGGGAGAGGUGAGUGGAACUGCGAGUGUAGAGGUGAAAUUCGUAGAUAUUCGCAAGAACACCAGUGGCGAAGGCGGCUCACUGGCCCGUUACUGACGCUGAGGUGCGAAAGCGUGGGGAGCAAACAGG
rnacentral:rRNA from 1 species